rnacentral:rRNA from 1 species
AGAGUUUGAUCCUGGCUCAGAGCGAACGCUGGCGGCAGGCCUAACACAUGCAAGUCGAACGAACUCUUCGGAGUUAGUGGCGGACGGGUGAGUAACACGUGGGAACGUGCCUUUAGGUUCGGAAUAACUCAGGGAAACUUGUGCUAAUACCGAAUGUGCCCUUCGGGGGAAAGAUUUAUCGCCUUUAGAGCGGCCCGCGUCUGAUUAGCUAGUUGGUGAGGUAAAGGCUCACCAAGGCGACGAUCAGUAGCUGGUCUGAGAGGAUGAUCAGCCACAUUGGGACUGAGACACGGCCCAAACUCCUACGGGAGGCAGCAGUGGGGAAUCUUGCGCAAUGGGCGAAAGCCUGACGCAGCCAUGCCGCGUGAAUGAUGAAGGUCUUAGGAUUGUAAAAUUCUUUCACCGGGGACGAUAAUGACGGUACCCGGAGAAGAAGCCCCGGCUAACUUCGUGCCAGCAGCCGCGGUAAUACGAAGGGGGCUAGCGUUGCUCGGAAUUACUGGGCGUAAAGGGAGCGU